rnacentral:tRNA from 1 species
GGCCCUUUGGGGAAGUGGUUAACCCACCUCCCUCCGGCUUUUGCUGCAAGGAGGAUAUCGUCGGUUCAAUCCCGGCAAGGGUCG